rnacentral:rRNA from 1 species
CGGGCACUUUCGGGUGCUAGCGGCGGACGGGUGAGUAACGCGUGGGAACAUACCCUUUGGUACGGAAUAGCCUCUGGAAACGGAGAGUAAUACCGUAUGUGGUCGUAAGACGAAAGAUUUAUCGCCAAAGGAUUGGCCCGCGUUGGAUUAGGUAGUUGGUGGGGUAAUGGCCUACCAAGCCGACGAUCCAUAGCUGGUUUGAGAGGAUGAUCAGCCACACUGGGACUGAGACACGGCCCAGACUCCUACGGGAGG